CCUACGGGGAGCUGCAGUCGAGAAUUAUUCACAAUGGGGGAAACCCUGAUGGUGCGACGCCGCGUGGGGGAAUGAAGGUCUUCGGAUUGUAAACCCCUGUCAUGUGGGAGCAAAUUAAAAAGAUAGUACCACAAGAGGAAGAGACGGCUAACUCUGUGCCAGCAGCCGCGGUAAUACAGAGGUCUCAAGCGUUGUUCGGAAUCACUGGGCGUAAGGCGUGCGUAGGCUGUUUCGUAAGUCGUGUGUGAAAGGCGCGGGCUCAACCCGCGGACGGCACAUGAUACUGCGAGACUAGAGUAAUGGAGGGGGAACCGGAAUUCUCGGUGUAGCAGUGAAAUGCGUAGAUAUCGAGAGGAACACUCGUGGCGAAGGCGGGUUCCUGGACAUUAACUGACGCUGAGGCACGAAGGCCAGGGGAGCGAAAGGGAUUAGAUACCCGGGUAGUC
rnacentral:rRNA from 1 species